UUUUUUUUAUAAUCAUCUCUC
rnacentral:sRNA from 1 species